AUACGUAGGGGGCAAGCGUUAUCCGGAUUUACUGGGUGUAAAGGGAGCGUAGACGGCAAAGCAAGUCUGAAGUGAAAGCCCCGGGCUCAACCCGGGAAUUGCUUUGGAAACUGUUUAGCUGGAGUGCAGGUGAGGUAAGCGGAAUUCCUAGUGUAGCGGUGAAAUGCGUAGAUAUUAGGAGGAACACCGGCGGCGAAGGCGGCUUACUGGACUGCAACUGACGCUGAGGCGCGAAAGUGUGGGGAGCAAACAGGAUUAGAUACCCUGGUAGUCCACACUGUAAACGAUGAAUGCUAGGUGUAAGAGGUAUCGACCCCUUUUGUGCCGGAGUUAACACAAUAAGCAUUCCGCCUGGGGAGUACGGCCGCAAGGUUGAAACUCAAAUGAAUUGGCGGGG
rnacentral:rRNA from 1 species